CACGUAGGGUGCGAGCGUUGUCCGGAAUUAUUGGGCGUAAAGAGCUCGUAGGCGGUGUGUCGCGUCGGCCGUGAAAACCUGCAGCUUAACUGUGGGCUUGCGGUCGAUACGGGCAUCACUGGAGUUCGGCAGGGGAGACUGGAAUUCCUGGUGUAGCGGUGAAAUGCGUAGAUAUACGGAGGAACACCAGCGGCGAAGGCGGGUAGCUGGGCCAACACUGACGCUGAUGUGCGAAAGCUAGGGGAGCAAACGGG
rnacentral:rRNA from 1 species